AAGGAAAAAAAGGAUGUGUGCAAAGUUUCACCUCGAUAGUUCUAAAACAUGAGAGACAAGUUUGUGUAGAAACCGACAAACAGACGGACAGACGGACAUGCUCAUAUCGACUCAGGAUGUGAUCCUGUUCAAGAAUAUACAUAUAUACUUUAAAGGGUCGGAUAUGUCGCCUUCAUUGCGUUGCACACUUUUGACCAAAAUCAUAAUACACUCUGCGAGGGUAUAAAAAGCGUGUAAUAAGAGUAUAAAUUAAGUAUUUUUAUUUUUUCAUAUAUAUAUAGUAAUAUAAUGUUAUCGAAGGAUGGUCACACUAGUAAGCGUAGCGGAAGAUGGAUAAAAUAUAAAAAGCACAUGGCUUAAACUAAAACUAUAUAAAUUGUUCUAAAGGCUUUUUAGCUUGGUCAAACGUUAUCGUGAAUAACGCAAAAAGUUAUGGGAGUUACAUUCGUCGCUGCCGGACUCAGUUUACUGAAGAUCCAAAGAAUUUUUAUAAGUUUGUCAAAACUAAGCAAAAACAUAUUUCUUUUCAGCCUUUGCUUAAAAUUAAAAACUUAUCUGCGAACUGUGGAUCAUUGCCAAUCUAUUAGCAACAUUUUGUAAAACAACUUCUUCAACUCCAAAAAUGUCAGAUCAGCCAUACGUACAUAUGUACAUAAAUAGCACUCAUUAUGAUUUUUUGAUGUAUGUAGGUCUAGUAAACACGAAAAUGACUUUCAUAAAUUUUUUUAUGGUAAAAUUUUUUUUAAUUCACUUUUGAAAACUUUUUUUUGGAUUUUUAGAGAUGUGCAGACUUUUUUAAGUAUGUAUGUAUAUCUCGCGUUCUAAUGAACCGAUUUUAUGGAAUGAGCCCUUAUUUUAUUGGUAAUUGAUAAUUUUAUAAUUUAAUGGUAAUUUGCUACAACUUUAUUUUAUUAAUUUUUCGAUUCGUUGGAAAUUUCAGGAGGUAGAGGCUCGAACAUGUCAAAAAAUUGUACUUUUUUGAGUAAAUUCAACUGCAAAAAUUUACAUAUCGUCCCACGAAAAAUAUAAAUUGUGAAGAUAACUUAUGUUUGAAUUUUUUUAAUCAAAGCUUACACUUUUACGGCUAAAAUAAGCUAUUGAUGAUAAAAAGCUAUGGAAUAUUAUGGAUUUUUUGAAUUUUUGAGUAAAUCACUCAAUUUGAGCAUUUUUUCUAUUCGAACGUUUUUUCUCAUUCUCAUUCAAUGUUAUAUAUUUUGCUUGCAUAUAAACUCUAUUAAGUAGCACUUGUAUUGUUGAUGGUAUUUGUAAAAAAAUAUGGUGAUCUCCUUAUUUGACUUUCUACUACUAUAACCCUUUAGUACAAUGAAAUUAUUUACGAACAAAGACGAAAAUGUUGAUGUUGGUAUACAAAUUCACUGGACUGAGAUUUGAAUGGGAAGUACGUUGAACACAAUUAAUUAAAAUGUUCUUACACUUGAUAUUAAGCAGAAAUCAGUAGGUGCAAAAUAAAAAUUUAUCAGAUUUAUUAUUUCCAUUUAAAUUUAUAACCAUUUAAAUAAAAUAAAGUAUAUUGCAGUAUAAUAUAGUAAAUAAUAUGUGACGCUUAAACUCAUGAAUGAGGUAAGCAAGGCAGACACUAAAACUUUUCAAUUUAAUUUAACACCAAUCGGUGCACAAUGUUUUCGGUUAACCUGUCUGUUCAAGAAUUGAACACGAUAUGAAUUCCAAAGAUAGAAUGUAAGAGAUCGGACCCAUGGGAAUAGGUAAUCAUGGGCAUGAUUUGAAAAAGAUCUCCUGCAGUCUAAGUUAAUAUUUAUGAGGUGCACUUGAAGCACUUAAAAUAGGGUCACAUAGCAUGUCAGCGUGCAGUCCGUUGAUAAGUAGUUUAAAAUAGAUUUAAGAUUUUCAUGUAUCUUUCUUGUAAGAGAAGUGUAUGAAAUAAAAACAGUUUUGAAACGGAACUCAUUGGAGUAACACCAUUAUAUAAGGGGCUCCUCUUAACACUGUCUUUACCUAACACAAAUAGAUUCGACGGUUUUCCAACACGUGAACACGCAACACACAUAUAGUUAAGCAUGAGAAAAACAUGGAUUUUUCAAAUCUAAACCACAAAUGGACAUUGUUUGACCUUGAGAUUUAUUUAUAGACAUGGCGAAAGCUAAACGAAUUGGAAACUGUAGCCUUUUGAAGGGUAUGGUAGAAUCUGAUGGUAUCAUCGGAAUACGUGGCAGCAGGACCACUUUUCCUUUAAACUUCCCAGCCAAAAUGGUUGCUUCAAGAAUGUUUCCGAUGAUCUUUUUGAUGACCAAACGCGUACCGUUACAUAAUUGAGGUGGAUUCAAAUUACGGAGGAGAAUAAUAGGGGAGCCAAUCUAUAAUCGAAGAUUAUGUGGUGGCAUUCCAGGGAUAUCUAAUGAAUUUAAAAAUUCAAUCGGAAAAUUUACACUUUCAUUUUCAUCAGCAACAGUAUCGAUUGAUUUAAAAGACAUCAGAUCGCCGGGUAACAACUGUUGUAUCUGGAAGUUAAUUUCGUCAACAUCAACGUUUUUAGCUGCCAAAAUCGCCCGUUGACUAAGCCAUUCAUGAUUCAAAAAUUUAUACUCUGAAAAUACUCUGAUUCAAUUAAUUUUUAUCCUGAACAACAGUGCAAAAAUUGUCGGGUAGUUUAAUGUAUCGCGUAUUUGGUGGCAGUUCUAUUUUACCGUUCCCAAUAUCUAGUUAUAAUAUGCAUUCAAUUUACACUUCAGUCUGAGUAAGACGUGGCCGGCUAUGCUAACACUAAAAAUUUGAAAAGUGGAAAUAAUUGAAUUAUACGGUAUUUUGUUCACUACAAAAUAAAUUUAAUUAACUUUAUAGCGUCAACAACACGUGCGCCAUCUAUUGAUUACUUACUCAACACAGUCGAAAGGUAGAUACAUCUGUUAGAAUCAUUUGGAGUUAACAAAUAACUGGCGUCAAAUAAUAACAGACAAAUAAUUAGCAAUAAAUUAAAAUCGCGACUAUUAUUUGAUGUUUAAACUAUCCUAUCUCUCAAGUUGGAUCGAACAGCACAUGGUGUGCGAAUUUUAUUAUAAUCGGUUAAGCGGUUUAGGAGUCCAUUGAAGACAAACAUUGUGACACGAAAUUUAUAUAUAUUAAGAUAUUAUGUAUCAUUUAUUUAUAUGAAAACUUCCCAAACCGUAUAUUUUAAAGAUGAUUAUUUAUUAUCAAGAUUAUUUAAGUUGUUUUUAAUGGAUCCAGCUGGGUAUAAAAAGUGUUGGUGCCCAAGAUUGUGCAUCUCUAGCGUUAAAUUUUAUCCGUAAGGUUUUGGAAAAUGAGUAAAAGAAAACGCGAGUUCGCCUGCGUAAACGAUCCGAACGGUUUUUGCAAUGUGUGCGGUGAACAUAUAGACCGUAAAAAUGUACGAUCAUUUACUAAUGACUUACGACAAAAGUACUUCCAUUACUUCAAAAUUGAGCCGAAUCAUAACGAUCCGUGGACCCCACAGAGUGUAUGUGCCACAUGCCAAUCAAUUCUUCACAAAUGGGCUUGCGGAGAAAGGUAUGUACCUGCCACUUUUCUUUAUAUCUUCGUCAUAUGAAAGGACUAGAGGGAUUGUUAUAUAUUAAACGUUAUUCACGUCCAUUUCAGACGUUACCUGAAGCCAGAAUUAUUUUUGAAAUAUAUAACAUAGUUGACCGAAAAAAUUAUAAAAUCCAUUAUUUUUCGUGGAUUUUCAUCAACAAUAGCUGGUUUUUGCCAGUAAAGUGUAAGCUUUGAAUAAAAAAAUUCGAACGUAACAUAUUUUUAAAAUUUAUUAUUUAUGGAAAUCCCCAAUUCCCCCAGUGAUUAACAUUUGGGAUUUUUGGUAUCUCCUUUGUCAGAAUUUAAAAUGAAAAAUGAAUUAUUUAUUAUAAAUAAAUGAUAAAUAAAUACAUGAUGUAUUAUACAUAAUAUACAAUAAAUAAUAUAAAUGAUAUUUAAUAGAGUUUAUAUGCAAGCAAAAUACAUUGAGCAAAGUAACAUUGAAUGAGAAUGAGAAAAAACGUUCGAAUAGUAAAAAUGCUCAAAUUGAGUAAUUUACUCAAAAAUUCAUACAAUCCGCAAUUUUUCCAUAGAUUUUCAUCAUCAAUAGCUUAUUUUAGCCGUAAAAGUGUAAGCUUUGAUUAAAAAAAUUCAAACAUAACUUAUCUUCACAAUUUAUAUUUUUUU